rnacentral:rRNA from 1 species
CCUACGGGAGGCAGCAGUGAGGAAUAUUGGUCAAUGGCCGGAAGGCUGAACCAGCCAAGCCGCGUGAAGGACGAAGGUGCCAAGCAUUGUAAACUUCUUUUGUCAAGGGACAAAAUCAGGCUCGAGAGCCUGACCGAGGGUACUUUAAGAAAAAGCAUCGGCUAACUCCGUGCCAGCAGCCGCGGUAAUUCGGAGGAUGCGAGCGUUAUCCGGAUUUAUUGGGUUUAAAGGGUGCGUAGGCGGACUGUUAAGUCAGCGGUAAAAGCCCGGGGCUCAACCCCGGCGAGCCGUUGAAACUGGCGGUCUUGAGAUGUCGAGAGGUAUGCGGAAUGCGCAGUGUAGCGGUGAAAUGCUUAGAUAUUGCGCAGAACUCCGAUUGCGAAGGCAGCAUACCGGAGGCGAUCUGACGCUGAGGCACGAAAGCGUGGGUAUCGAACAGGAUUAGAUACCCCAGUAGUC